rnacentral:rRNA from 1 species
GAUGAACGCUGGCGGCGUGCCUAAUACAUGCCAGUCGAGCGAACAGACGAGGAGCUUGCUCCUCUGACGUUAGCGGCGGACGGGUGAGUAACACGUGGAUAACCUACCUAUAAGACUGGGAUAACUUCGGGAAACCGGAGCUAAUACCGGAUAAUAUAUUGAACCGCAUGGUUCAAUAGUGAAAGACGGUUUUGCUGUCACUUAUAGAUGGAUCCGCGCCGCAUUAGCUAGUUGGUAAGGUAACGGCUUACCAAGGCAACGAUGCGUAGCCGACCUGAGAGGGUGAUCGGCCACACUGGAACUGAGACACGGUCCAGACUCCUACGGGAGGCAGCAGUAGGGAAUCUUCCGCAAUGGGCGAAAGCUUGACGGAGCAACGCCGCGUGAGUGAUGAAGGUCUUCGGAUCGUAAAACUCUGUUAUUAGGGAAGAACAAAUGUGUAAGUAACUAUGCACGUCUGGACGGUACCUAAUCAGAAAGCCACGGCUAACUAAGU